rnacentral:rRNA from 1 species
UGGGGAAUAUUGGACAAUGGGGGCAACCCUGAUCCAGCAAUGCCGCGUGUGUGAAGAAGGUCUUCGGAUUGUAAAGCACUUUCGACGGGGACGAUGAUGACGGUACCCGUAGAAGAAGCCCCGGCUAACUUCGUGCCAGCAGCCGCGGUAAUACGAAGGGGGCUAGCGUUGCUCGGAAUGACUGGGCGUAAAGGGCGUGUAGGCGGUUUACACAGUCAGAUGUGAAAUCCCCGGGCUUAACCUGGGAGCUGCAUUUGAUACGUGUAGACUAGAGUGUGAGAGAGGGUUGUGGAAUUCCCAGUGUAGAGGUGAAAUUCGUAGAUAUUGGGAAGAACACCGGUGGCGAAGGCGGCAACCUGGCUCAUGACUGACGCUGAGGCGCGAAAGCGUGGGGAGCAAACAGGUUAGAUACCCUGGUAGUCCACGCUGUAAACGAUGUGUGCUAGAUGUUGGGUAACUUUGUUA